rnacentral:rRNA from 20 species
CUUUAUUGGAGAGUUUGAUCCUGGCUCAGGAUGAACGCUGGCGGCGUGCCUAAUACAUGCAAGUCGAGCGAAUGGAUUAAGAGCUUGCUCUUAUGAAGUUAGCGGCGGACGGGUGAGUAACACGUGGGUAACCUGCCCAUAAGACUGGGAUAACUCCGGGAAACCGGGGCUAAUACCGGAUAA